rnacentral:rRNA from 1 species
GACGAACGCUGGCGGCGUGCCUAAUACAUGCAAGUCGAGCGAAGUUUUUCUGGUGCUUGCACUAGAAAAACUUAGCGGCGAACGGGUGAGUAACACGUAAAGAACCUGCCUCAUAGACUGGGACAACUAUUGGAAACGAUAGCUAAUACCGGAUAACAGCAUUAACUGCAUGGUUGAUGUUUAAAAGUUGGUUUUGCUAACACUAUGAGAUGGCUUUGCGGUGCAUUAGCUAGUUGGUGGGGUAAAGGCCUACCAAGGCGACGAUGCAUAGCCGACCUGAGAGGGUGAUCGGCCACACUGGGACUGAGACACGGCCCAGACUCCUACGGGAGGCAGCAGUAGGGGAUCUUCCGCAAUGGGCGAAAGCCUGACGGAGCAACGCCGCGUGAGUGAAGAAGGAUUCCGGUUCGUAAAGCUCUGUUGUUAGGGAAGAAUGAUUGUGUAGUAACUAUACACAGUAGAGACGGUACCUAACCAGAAAGCCACGGCUAACUACGUGCCAGCAGCCGCGGUAAUACGUAGGUGGCAAGCGUUGUCCGGAAUUAUUGGGCGUAAAGCGCGCGCAGGUGGUUUAAUAAGUCUGACGUGAAAGCCCACGGCUCAACCGUGGAGGGUCAUUGGAAACUGUUAAACUUGAGUGCAGGAGAGAAAAGUGGAAUUCCUAGUGUAGCGGUGAAAUGCGUAGAGAUUAGGAGGAACACCAGUGGCGAAGGCGGCUUUUUGGCCUGUAACUGACACUGAGGCGCGAAAGCGUGGGGAGCAAACAGG